AUACGUAGGGUGCAAGCGUUAAUCGGAAUUACUGGGCGUAAAGCGUGCGCAGGCGGUUUUGUAAGACAGAGGUGAAAUCCCCGGGCUCAAACUGGGAACUGCCUUUGUGACUGCAAGGCUAGAGUACGGCAGAGGGGGAUGGAAUUCCGCGUGUAGCAGUGAAAUGCGUAGAUAUGCGGAGGAACACCGAUGGCUAAGGCAAUCCCCUGGGCCUGUACUGACGCUCAUGCACGAAAGCGUGGGGAGCAAACAGGAUUAGAUACCCUGGUAGUCCACGCCCUAAACGAUGUCAACUGGUUGUGGGGGAUUUAUUUUCUCAGUAACGAAGCUAACGCGUGAAGGUGACCGCCUGGGGAGUACGGCCGCAAGGUUAAAACUCAAAGGAAUUGACGGGG
rnacentral:rRNA from 1 species